rnacentral:sRNA from 1 species
UAUUAUUUGCUUUGGAGUGGUGCAGUAUUCUAGUCAGCCCCCCAUUCCUGAAGGCGGGCCUAAAAAUCCGCCAAAGGGCACAUCGAUGAAGUUCCUUGUAUUGGCUUGAGGCGCCCAGCCUUGGGUCAUCGCUGGGAGUUAAGGUUGAAGGGCGAUCCACAAUGGCAUGUGGGCGAGGACCCUUCUUCCGCGGAGGCCCCCAUAUUUGCGGUUUGUGUUCAAAAGACCUUACUGCGAAAUGGGGUUUGAACCUGCUUAGCUUUUUUUCUUGUUCACAGGAAAAGAAGGCGAGCAGCGUAGCCUGCCUUGAGUGGAGCUUGAGGGGAUUAUGGUGUGAAAAGCCUGUAUCGGUUGGCCGCUGAUUUUUGAGCUUUAUACCAUAUGAAAUCUUCUCUGCAAAAGAGGCUAGGGAAUGUGCGCGAGGCUGUUGAGGAAAACUCCUAGACUGUUCUGCCCUGACACCUUUUAGGGAUUAUAGUGCGGACUAAGUGGUAAUCUAGUCUAACGUUUGGCGACAGCGUUAAGAAGAGAGUAAAGGGAAACCGCGAACAUGGCGACAUUUCGUACUCUUCUGGGAAAACCUACUGGACCUAAGCCGCAGUCUUUACUUAAUAAGGUGACCACUCCUUAUUACAUAAAG